AUGCGGAUUUUCCCUCGAGUGGCAGACGGGUGAGUAACACGUGGGUAAUCUACCUCAGAGCCUGGAAUAACGUUUGGAAACGAACGCUAAAUACCGGAUAAUUCAUAUUUAGAUAACUAGAUAUGCUAAAAGGAGCUUCGGCUUCACUUUGAGAUGAGCUUGCGGUGCAUUAGCUAGUUGGUGGGGCAAUGGCCUACCAAGGCAACGAUGCAUAGCCGGACUGAGAGGUCGAUCGGCCACAUUGGAAUUGAGAUACGGUCCAAACUCC
rnacentral:rRNA from 1 species